UACUCGAAAGAAUGACUAUACAACUUUCUAAUAAUGUUUGUUUGUUUUCUUAUAGUUAUAUUCUGCACCAAAAGGUCGACUCGGACCCAAGAAGGUGACAAUACUGUCCCCGGCUCUGUGCCAAAUGAUGUUGAUGAUAUUGAAAAGAGACUUGCUUCUCUUCGACGCAUUUGAUAUGUGAGACAUUGCAUCCAGACGAGGACCAGAAGUCUUUUGUGUAUAGUCUUGUAUCGUCUUUAUAAAUGUUAGUAGGGCUCAGAAUCAUUUAUCUCUUGGCGAUUCGAGUGAUUUUGUGAAGGUUCAAGAGGUAAUUUAAUUAGUUUUUGUCUAAUUGAUCAAUGUUAACUUCUUUUGAUUCUGAGUUCCUAAAUUUAGGGUCUAAUAUUUUAAACGAAGUUUCACUUUGGUGAUUCAGUGUUCUUAAGUUUAGUGUUUGAUAUGUUAAAACGAAGUUUGAUUUUGGUGAUUCAUUGUUCUUUAAUUGAAGGUUACAUAUUUUUAACGAGGUUUAAUUUUGGUGUUUUACUUGAACCACCAUCAACAAGAAUCUUAUGACUUCAAAUCAGGCUUUCGUUUGGUUGUAUCUAGGGUUUGAUUGUCGUUUCCAUGGGUUCAAGGGUUUUUUUGUUUAUUUUUUUAGAGGAUUCAUUUGGAACACAAGUUUGAUUGACUAAUAUGUACAUUUUUAUAUGGUUUGUUUGAAAUUAUGUUGGAUUGACUAAUAUGUAUGCUUGGAUCUACUAUUAACAACAAUCUGGUAAUUCCAUUGCUCCUUAAUCUUACCUUUUUGUUCAGAUUUCUACAAAAAAAUCUUUGAAAUAUUUGGGAUUAUAACAACUUUUUAACAAGCCUAUGCAUCUUUAUAUGUUAGCUUUAAUAUGAGUUAUAAUCACGCUCUUAAUUAUUUUCUAUUUUUUAUUACAAUUAGAGGAGCCAUGUAGGUUAGAGAAAAUUAGGCUAACUUGUCCGAGUAGUACACAUUAGAUUAUUUGACCAUGUAAUGCAUUUAAUGCACCAUUUGAUAUAAGCGAGCAUUCCCACUAGUAUACCCUUAAAUAAAUUACUUUUAAUUAAAAUUGAUUUUUUAAAUCAAGUUAAUAUCUUGAAUGUCUCGUGGCAACAUUGCUUAUUUAAAAUCUUUACAUUAGCAUUCGUGUUACUUUAUCUCUAAGUUGACAAGUAUGGUUUAAAUUAAAUUUGUGAAACCUUCUUACAAAAUCCACCUUUCCUUUUCACACACACACACAUCUAUAUAUAUAAUAAACAAAACCAUUGGGGGACACAUGUCACCCAAUGGUUGAUGCCAAAUAAGCAGCCAUGUCAUCAUACACUUGGCAUAACUCAUAGAUUAGGAUUGAAUAUAGCUUCUAACAUACGCUACUCUCUCUCAUUCUCUCAUAACCCUAAUCAAAGUCUCUCUUUUCUCUUCUCUGGCGAACACGAUGACCGAACAUCAAAUAAUUUUGAUCAAGAAUCAACGUAUUUGAAGAUCUAACUCUACGGAAAUCAAAUCUUCGAGAUCAAAUCGGCGAUUUAGUGAAGAGGUAUAAUCAAUCUUCAUUAGAUAAUAGUCUUCCUUGACGAAUAAGAAUGAAGGUGUGCUUGGGUGACGGCUGGAUCUGGAUGUUAUUUAGGGUUUUGCUUGAAGUUUGCAGGUUCAGUUACCGGAAGGAGUGGAUCCAUUCAUACACAUCACUCGAAAUGAGCGUUCAGGGCGAAAGGAAGCAACGGCUGAUCCAAGGUAUGCUGAUUGCUGAAGUUUGUAUGUACUUUUCUACGUGUUGAAAUUUAGCGUUACAUGAGAAUAAGAUAGAUAUAUAUGCUAGAGCAAGGGAGACGACAGAGAUAGUGCAUUCUCCAAACAACUGCGAUGAUGACGGAUUUGGUUUUGACCGGGCUGCGAUAAAGUUUUCUAAAUGUGGUCAGAGUCGGUGGAGAUGGCAAUGGGUCGGGAUGGGACGGGUAUGGCAAAUCUCAUACGCAUACCGGCCCAAAACUCGUCAGGUAUUUAUGCGGUAAUUACCCGUCGGGUAUCAGGUAAUGGGUAUGUCCAUUAGUGUGUUUAAAAAAUAUGCGCUGAGAUUUAUAUAUAAAGAAAAAUUACAUGAUCAUAUGUACACAUAUAAUAUUAUAUUUUUCCUUUUUUGUGGUUUUAUUUAUUUUUUUUAACGGCUAUUUUUUCCCUUUAAAUACUUACAUCUCCCAAGGAUUGGACCUUGGUCUCUUCACAAGAGAUAAUUUCUCUUGACCACUAGGUUAUAGCCUAAGUGGCUUUUGUGGUUUUAUUUCUUAAAAAGGCCUAUAGAAAACACUAGGUUAUAGCCUAAGUGGCUUAAAAAUUAAUCAAAUCCAUAGUAAAUAUUUCCGGCUACUUUCUUGAUUUUCCGGCAAUUUUCUUUAUUUUCAGGCAACUAUUAUUUUUUUCCUUUUUUUUCGUAUUUUUGAUAGAAAAUGUGUGAGGUUUUAUGAAGCAAAACAUUGAGUUUUAUAUAAAAGUUUAGGUAUGGAACAUGAGUUAUUCUGUUUGUUGAAUGAACGUGACAGCAACCCCGACAGGAAUGCAUGAUAGUCAAACUCAAAAGCUUGAGCUUGAGCACAUUUUUGACGUCGAUCAUUUUAUUACGUCUUUGAGAGAUGAAGUCCGGAUACUUAAAGAGCUUCCGCCAAGGCUUAAACAGAGAGUUGAAUUAGGAAUUGUGCAUACCAUGCCUCCUGUUAGUUUGUCUGAUAUCUAUUACUAUCAUAAUCAGUACAAAGUUGUGCACUUGAACAAAACCGAUGCUCGGCUUGCCAAUAACGGUCAAUCCCUUGAACUUCAAAAGCUAAGGUGAUGUAUGAUGCGAGUGGUGUAAGAUUGGAAGCAAGACGCCAAGCGGAGGUUCUCAAUCAAAUCGUGUAUGAACUUCCUGCCGAACAUCCUUUAGCUGAAGAAUGCUAUUACAUGAACUUCUUGGUCACACCCCUCCUUAGGUAAUUGCUGUGAUAGAUGGAGUUACGGUACAGAAGAUGCGAAUCACGUUUUUGUUAAUUGUAUUUGGGCCCGAAGUAUAUGGUGGCAAAUUGCGGUUUGGAUGUGCAUACCCCCUCUGACUAAUAUGUGUAGUUUAAAGGAAGUGGUGAAAGCUUUGACUGGCAACAUAGGGUCGGCUAGAUGGAAGAGAGUCGUCUACAUGGUUAUUCAGGCUACAAUGUGGCAAACCUGGAAUGCAAGGAAUCUUAAAGUUUUUGAGGGGCAGUUUGUUCCAACCCGGAGAACUGUCGAUCUCAUAAAAGAAGACGUUUUCCUUUGGAUUUCUCAUCGAAUGAAGUUACCAAAGCUGGACUGGGAUAAGUGGGCUGAGUUUAGUGUUUCGGAAAUUUUGUAAUGGCUGUGCUUUUGUUUUCUGUUUCCUUUCCGUUUCUUUGUAGUUGUUUUGUGUUUUCAGCCCCUUGCUGGUUCUAUUUAUAUAUAUAAAUAGUGAGUUGCCGUUCAAAAAAAAAAAAACGAAAUAUUCCGGCAUUUGAA